UUGUUUGCUUUUCUGGUUUUGUCUGUUUGCUUGCUUGCUUGCUUCCUAUUGUUUGCAUUGUCUUUAUUGUUUGUAGUCUGUACCGUUUGCACUGUUGUUUGGCAGGAUCCAACCGUUCAGAGUGAAGGUCAUCAUCACCCGUCUCACCCUUUUGACCUAUUUGCUACCGUCCUGCAUCAUCACAGCAACAGGGGAGGCCUCUGAAUACGCGAACACCUGGAUGCUUCAUUAUGGGUUCCCCGGGAUCCGCUUAUACCACAUGCAUGGAUCCUGGUCCUGACAGCGGGAGCUAGACCGAGGCUCUGGGUUCUGCUCCCAGGGAGCUGGACUGGGUCACGUCUGCAGAAAUCGACACCUGGGGGUUUCAAAAAACCCAGUGUCCCAUCCAUCCCAGUGCGGCGUGGAUCUAUUCUCUAUCUGAGCUGCACAAAUCAUACAGAAACGUAACAAGGACCCUGGCCUCCGCUGAGCAUCGGGGAGAGCGAGCUCGGCGUGCGUGAUUGAGCCGUGUACAUCAGGCCGAUUUCCUCUCCUCACACUCGCACCCUGACAGACGAGCUGUCAAUUAAUGUCUGCCAGGUGGAUAUCCUGCCAGGAGAUCGGGGUGUGAAGCAGCUUCCACCACUGAGCAAAGUGUCUAGUCGAGUUAAAGGCGGCCCUGCCUUCCCAGGUGAGAGAUGAAGAGGGCAGGCCACAGGCCAGCUUUGGGCUCUGUCCGGCAUACUGACAGAUGAUGCACGAUCGCUCACCCCUGAGGAGAACGUGAGAGACGGCGCACCUCUGCUCACUGCCCCUGCAGAGCGACGCGUCUCUGCUGGUGGUGAGACUGCAGGAGCGAGGCAACCUGCCGGCUUAUGCUGCCCGCUCCUCGAUUUCCCCACAGAGGAACAAAUGACAUCAAAUGCUAAAGGCCAAAAGACCCUCAAAUAUUAAACACAUCGAGUGACCUACAGAUCAGCAGCCCAGCCCAAUAACACGAGGGCGUCCAGCAGCUCUCUGCUGACUGGGAAAUACACCCUAACUUUACAGUGCUCUACAGCUGCUUUUCAAGGGCAGCUACCAAGGCUAAUACUCCGGUCCCACCCUUUAAGAAUUUAGCAUCACCAAAUCCAAACACCAGGGGGCGUACGGCCAGAGCGGCUGGACUUAUUACAAUACCAAACGGUGCUUUAAUGUGAGGCAAAUAAGUGGUUCCUAAGAUCAGUGAACGUGUUUCCAUCGUCCUGCCGCUGGUCUGUAACACGCCACUCCGCAGAUAUCCAGCCCCUUAUUAUGACUUCACAAAGCCCGUGUGAUAUUAAGCACAGAAUCUGCGUUAAUAAGUCAACGAUAAGAGAUUCUAAAAGAGUCAUGAAUGGGGCUCAUUUAUGUGGCUGUUCACAGGGAUUGACUCGCAGAGUGUCUGUGAGCCUCGACGCGGCAGACGAGCCUGUCACACCCCACCCCCCCGAACAGUGUCUCCAGUCAUUGUCGCCUGUCAUUCCGGACAGUCCUGCGGACGGCCGUCUGCAGCAGAGAACCGAAGCAGCUAAAGGGAGGCGGCGCCACUGAUCUGCUUCAGAAAAACCGAACCUCCCAAUCGACCCGUUUCCGGGAGGUGAGCGCGGACGGUCUGCUCUCAUUAUGACUUUUACAUUGACAAACCUGUUAGCUCCUCAGGACGCUAAUACCAGGGUUCUUACAGGUUUCAGUAAGUAAAAUUUAAGACCAACACGAUGCAUUAUUAGAAACAUUCGAAUGAUACCAGAAAUUCUCAUAUUUUAUGUCAUUCAUAUCCUUAGCCAAACAUGCACAUAUAUGUGUUUACAAAGUGCGUUUUAACAAGUUUACAUGUGUUUAAAGCAUGUGAGAGGGAUAUUUUAAGGGUCAAACUACAAAAGUUUUUUUAUAUGGUCUUUUUAUAUCGUGGAUUUUCACCUAUCGCUGAUAGGUAUGGAACGCAUCUUCCGCAAUAGGCGGGGGAUCACUAUAUUAUAUACCCCGUAUUUGUGUGUGUGUGUGUGUGUGUGUGUGUGUGUGUGUGUGAAUAAAGAGUAAAAUGGAAUUUAAAAAAUAGUACAAUUCUGGGUUAUUAAUAAUCAUAUAUCAGAACUGUAAUACGUAAUACACUUUACAUAUGCUAUGAGGUACCAAACUGUGUUUAAUAAGAGCUGGAUGGAAAAAAAACAACAUUGGACAUGACAUCAGGAAUCAAAUGUUUAUUUUUUAUAAGAGAUAACAGCCUAAAAAAAAACUCAACAAAACAAACCAAUAAAA